rnacentral:rRNA from 1 species
AGAGAAGCUUGCUUCUCUUGAGAGCGGCGGACGGGUGAGUAAAGCCUAGGAAUCUGCCUGGUAGUGGGGGAUAACGUUCGGAAACGGACGCUAAUACCGCAUACGUCCUACGGGAGAAAGCAGGGGACCUUCGGGCCUUGCGCUAUCAGAUGAGCCUAGGUCGGAUUAGCUAGUUGGUGAGGUAAUGGCUCACCAAGGCGACGAUCCGUAACUGGUCUGAGAGGAUGAUCAGUCACACUGGAACUGAGACACGGUCCAGACUCCUACGGGAGGCAGCAGUGGGGAAUAUUGGACAAUGGGCGAAAGCCUGAUCCAGCCAUGCCGCGUGUGUGAAGAAGGUCUUCGGAUUGUAAAGCACUUUAAGUUGGGAGGAAGGGCAUUAACCUAAUACGUUAGUGUUUUGACGUUACCGACAGAAUAAGCACCGGCUAACUCUGUGCCAGCAGCCGCGGUAAUACAGAGGGUGCAAGCGUUAAUCGGAAUUACUGGGCGUAAAGCGCGCGUAGGUGGUUUGUUAAGUUGGAUGUGAAAUCCCCGGGCUCAACCUGGGAACUGCAUUCAAAACUGACUGACUAGAGUAUGGUAGAGGGUGGUGGAAUUUCCUGUGUAGCGGUGAAAUGCGUAGAUAUAGGAAGGAACACCAGUGGCGAAGGCGACCACCUGGACUAAUACUGACACUGAGGUGCGAAAGCGUGGGGAGCAAACAGGAUUAGAUACCCUGGUAGUCCACGCCGUAAACGAUGUCAACUAGCCGUUGGGAGCCUUGAGCUCUUAGUGGCGCAGCUAACGCAUUAAGUUGACCGCCUGGGGAGUACGGCCGCAAGGUUAAAA